rnacentral:lncRNA from 1 species
UGUAUUUAUAUAAGAUUGACCAUUAUGAUAAGAACUGUAAAUGUACAUUAAAUAUAUCAAUUUAUUGUGCCAGUACAUUUGGGAAGAACCGACUACUAACUGGCUCUUAUAUAAAAAAAACAAAGGAGGAAAUGAAUGUUAAUCUAACGAGCUGUUAUUCAACAAACCUGACCAUUAAAUUAAGAAACAGACAUUUGCACAACACAUUUAGCAUAAGUUAACAGGACAAAUAAAAAGAGA